GACGAACGCUGGCGGCGUGCUUAACACAUGCAAGUCGAACGGAAAGGCCCUGCUUUUGUGGGGUGCUCGAGGGGCGAACGGGUGAGUAACACGUGAGUAACCUGCCCUUGACUUUGGGAUAACUUCAGGAAACUGGGGCUAAUACCGUAUAGGAGCUCCUGCUGGAGGGUGGGGGUGGGAAAGUUUCGGCGGGUGGGGAUGGACUGGCGGCUUAUCAGCUUGUUGGUGGGGGAGGGGCUUACCCAGGCUGGGGCGGGUAGCCCGCCUGAGAGGGUGGCCGGCCACAUUGGGCCUGAGGUACGGAGCAGACUGGUACGUGAGGCAGCAGUGGGAAAUAUUGCACAAUGGGCGCAAGCCUGAUGCAGCAACGCCGCGUUCGGGAAGACGGUCUGCGGGGUGUAAACCGCUGUCGCCUGUGACGAAGCGUUAGUGACGGUACUGGGUAAAGAAGCACCGGCUAACUACGUG
rnacentral:rRNA from 1 species